UACGGAGGGUGCGAGCGUUGUUCGGAAUCACUGGGCGUAAAGGGUGUGUAGGCGGCCCGGUCAGUUCGUGGUGAAAGCGCGGGGCUCAACCCUGCGUCGGCCAUGAAUACUGCCGCGGCUGGAGCACGGAAGAGGCGAGUGGAAUUCCUGGUGUAGCGGUGAAAUGCGCAGAUAUCAGGAGGAACACCAAUUGCGAAGGCAGCUCGCUGGGACGUUACUGACGCUGAGACGCGAAAGCGUGGGGAGCAAACAGG
rnacentral:rRNA from 1 species